rnacentral:rRNA from 1 species
UCCCAGCUGUAAACGAUGCAGGCUAGGUGUUGGGACGGCUACGAGCUGUCCCAGUGCCGCAGGGAAGCCAUUAAGCCUGCCACCUGGGAAGUACGGCCGCAAGGCUGAAUUUUCAACGAGGCUCAGAAAAAUCAUUGGGCUUCUUGGAACAGUUCACUUAAAGGAAUUGGCGGGGGAGCACCACAAGGGGUGAAGCUUGCGGUUUAAUUGGAGUCAACUCCGGGAACCUUACCA